GCCCCUCCGCCCGCCCAUCGGCGCCGCUCCCAGCCCUCGCAGCCCCGCAGCCGCCCCGGGCCCCGCAGCGCAGCGCGUAGGAGCCCCGCGACCCGCGGCAGACCCCGGGGACGGACGCCUACCUGCAGGCCCUUGGAGAAGGGACAGAAGAGCACCAGUGGCAUCGGAGAAAUCUGUGGAGCCCAGCUGCGCAAACAUCUUGGGUGUUUCCCUCUAGAGACUUUGGUACAGCAGUGUCCCCGUGUCCCUGUGGUCUCACUCGCCACCAUGGCCGUGGUCCUGGAAGGAGAUGGCCUUCCUCCUGCCGGAUGCUCAGGCCAGCAGCAGCGCCCGCAGCACUCCUCGCCUGCACCCCUGCCUCCUGCCUCUCGUCCAGCGGGCACCUCACCUCUCAUGGUGUCCCACGGGGGUGAACUCCUGUGUGAUGCUAUCAGUGCUUCCUGCGGGUCACCACGCUUCAAGCAGCCUUCCCCCAGCAGCCUGGACACUGGUUUUCAGGAAGUCCCACUGGGCAGAUUCCCAGCGAUUCUGCAGGCACCACGGUGACCUCUCCGCCACUGCGGCCCAGCCUGGGGCCAGGGGGCUCUGGCUCAGCCCUCGUGGGGGUUUGCUCUUUAGGCCAUGCCUCUGUCGUGUAAACUCUACUGUGCGCAUUGCCACGCAGUCUCUGUCACCUGACGGGGCACUGACUGACACAGAUCAGGUACAAUAAAGGACCCAAGCAUUUUAUAAAACUGAGACCCACUAUACCCUACACUUGAGACCAUGUGGCUCACCCUCAGCCCCUCAGUGUCCUCAACCAAGUGGUCAUUACCCUCGAACCUAGGCCCAUGACAGUCACAUGGGGGAGCCCAGGUGGCUGGACCAGAAUUAAGUGUAUGCCCCGUAGGGCCUUUUGGGGCACCCGGGCUAGCCAAAGCGUGCCCUGAGAGGAAAGAAGCGUCCUGCUCAGGAGGGUCAGGGUAGAAGCCUGGAUAUCCCAACAGGACCUGGAUGCUCCCCAACCCUUUCACCCUGGUCAUGACUAGGGAGGUGGUUGAACAAGGAGUGCUUGCCGGGGGGCAGCCGUCGUACCCAGGCCAGGGAGAGAGUGCAGGGGUGGGACCAGAAACCUGGAAGAGUGCACCCUGGGGGAGGCUGCACCCAGCUCAGCAGCAGUAGGUGCCAGGCUGCAGGACACUGGAGGGCCCCCGACACCUGAGCAGCAGCCCACAUGGCUGUUUUCAGUGACGCGCAAGGAGCACCAUUAUCAGAUCACAGGAGAAACCAGAGACCCACUGUGUUUUGGGGGCCCCGGGGGGGUGGUGGCCGGUCAGCAGGGGUGGGGGUGCUUGGGAAAGCAGCCCAGUGGCAAGGUAGGAGGCACACCCCACAACCCUGAGACAGCAUUGAUGUCUGAGGGCAUCAGUUUGCCAGGAGCUGGGGGUUGCUGCCUGGGGCUGUGUCCCCCGCCCCACCCCGGGCAGGAGUCCCAUUUGGGGUGUUGUGACCACCUCCACCUCAGGUGUACAAAGUCUGGCAUGUUGCCCCCCAUCUGUUAUGCAGGCUGUCACCAUGCAUGGUGCCAUAUGGGAUGCUGGGUACAACGGUGGCUGGGUGGUACAGCGGCUCGGCGUGGUCAGGGAGCAGGCGCCCACCGCCCUGAGUGUCUGCAAGUGGCCUGGUGACCGCCAGCCGCUGUCACUUAUUCCAACAGUGCCCAGCCCCCAAGAGGGGAGCCUGUAGCCUGUAACCCUGCAAGUAGCUGUACUGGCUUCCUAGGGCUCCGUGACCCAACACCACGGCCUGAAUCGCUGUAGGUAACAGGCACUGAUUCCGCAGCCAUCCUGGAGAGCAGAGUCCACAGGCUACGUGUCAACAGGGUGGCCCUCCCUCCAAGGGUUCCAGGGGACAGGCCCCGCCUCUCCCAGCUGCAAGCGUUGCCAGCCAUCCUUGGUGUCCCUUGGCUUGUGGCUGUGUCCCCACCGUUUCAGCUUUCACUGCCAUAGGCUGGCUGUCCCCUGCCUGUCCUCUCUCUGUCUUUGUGUCCUCACCUUCAAAGAGCCUAUUUCCAAAGAGGUCGCGUUCUGAGUUUCCAGGUGGAUGUAAAUCUGUGGAGUGUUUGGGGGGGAGGGGACACUAUCCAAUCACUACACAGACCAAACAGCUGCAUCAUUGGAAAUAGCCCAAGAAUUAGUGAAAAUAUAGGGACCCCAAUAUAAGAAAAGUGGCUUAAUCAGGAGAAAAAGGUAUUUAUCUCUCAUGUAGCACUCUAGGCUAAGCAAGCAAAGGCUGGGAACCCAUGCUGUCUGGGAACUUACAUUCCUGCUGCCCUUAUUGUGCUGCCAUCCUCAAAACGUGGUUUCUGUC